GAUGAACGCUGGCGGCGUGCCUAAUACAUGCAAGUCGAGCGAACGGACGAGAAGCUUGCUUCUCUGAUGUUAGCGGCGGACGGGUGAGUAACACGUGGAUAACCUACCUAUAAGACUGGGAUAACUUCGGGAAACCGGAGCUAAUACCGGAUAAUAUUUUGAACCGCAUGGUUCAAAAGUGAAAGACGGUCUUGCUGUCACUUAUAGAUGGAUCCGCGCUGCACUAGCUAGUUGGUAAGGUAACGGCUUACCAAGGCAACGAUGCAUAGCCGACCUGAGAGGGUGAUCGGCCACACUGGAACUGAGACACGGUCCAGACUCCUACGGGAGGCAGCAGUAGGGAAUCUUCCGCAAUGGGCGAAAGCCUGACGGAGCAACGCCGCGUGAGUGAUGAAGGUCUUCGGAUCGUAAAACUCUGUUAUUAGGGAAGAACAUAUGUGUAAGUAACUGUGCACAUCUUGACGGUACCUAAUCAGAAAGCCACGGCUAACUACGUG
rnacentral:rRNA from 1 species